AAGUAAAAUUGAGAAUGGAAAUGGGGAAUGUGUCAAAGAGACAACAACCCGACCAAAUAAAAAACAAUAGCAGAGGGUCACCAACAGGUCUUCAAUGUAGCGAGAAAUUCCCGCACCCGGAGGCGUCCUUCAGCUGGCCCCUAAACAAAUAUAUACUAGUCCAGUGAUAAUGAACGCCAUACUAAUUUCCAAAUUGUACACAAGAAAC
rnacentral:lncRNA from 1 species